UACAGAGGUCUCAACCGUUGUUCGGAUUCAUUGGGCGUAAAGGGUGCGUAGGCGGUCGCACAAGUCGGAUGUGAAAUCUCAGGGCUCAACCCUGAAACUGCAUUCGAUACUGCGUGGCUAGAGUGCUGGAGAGGAGACUGGAAUUUACGGUGUAGCAGUGAAAUGCGUAGAUAUCGUAAGGAAGACCAGUGGCGAAGGCGAGUCUCUGGACAGCAACUGACGCUGAGGCACGAAGGCCAGGGGAGCAAACGGG
rnacentral:rRNA from 1 species